rnacentral:rRNA from 1 species
AGGAUGAACGCUGGCGGCGUGCUUAACACAUGCAAGUCGAACGGUGAAAGAGAGCUUGCUCUCUGGAUCAGUGGCGAACGGGUGAGUAACACGUGAGUAACCUGCCCUUGACUCUGGGAUAAGCGUUGGAAACGACGUCUAAUACCGGAUACGACCUUCGGAGGCAUCUCCUGAAGGUGGAAAGAAUUUCGGUCAAGGAUGGACUCGCGGCCUAUCAGCUAGUUGGUGAGGUAAUGGCCCACCAAGGCGACGACGGGUA